UCCGUUGUAGUCUAGCUGGUCAGGUUACUCGGCUCUCACCCGAAAGACCCGGGUUCGAAUAGCGGCGACGGAG
rnacentral:tRNA from 1 species